GAUGAACGCUGGCGGCGUGCCUAAUACAUGCAAGUCGAGCGAACGGACGAGAAGCUUGCUUCUCUGAUGUUAGCGGCGGACGGGUGAGUAACACGUGGAUAACCUACCUAUAAGACUGGGAUAACUUCGGGAAACCGGAGCUAAUACCGGAUAAUAUUUUGAACCGCAUGGUUCAAAAGUGAAAGACGGUCUUGCUGUCACUUAUAGAUGGAUCCGCGCUGCAUUAGCUAGUUGGUAAGGUAACGGCUUACCAAGGCAACGAUGCAUAGCCGACCUGAGAGGGUGAUCGGCCACACUGGAACUGAGACACGGUCCAGACUCCUACGGGAGGCAGCAGUAGGGAAUCUUCCGCAAUGGGCGAAAGCCUGACGGAGCAACGCCGCGUGAGUGGUGAAGGUCUUCGGAUCGUAAAACUCUGUUAUUAGGGAAGAACAUAUGUGUAAGUAACUGUGCACAUCUUGACGGUACCUAAUCAGAAAGCCACGGUUAACUACGUG
rnacentral:rRNA from 1 species